AAGUCGUAACAAGGUUUCCGUAGGUGAACCUGCGGAAGGAUCAUCAGUGGGUUAAAUAGUAUGCACCGUGCAUUGUAUAGGGGGGUGAGUGCGCUCUCCUCCCAACAUCCCUUCCUCACGCAAUUCUCACUAACCAAUACACAUUGUAAACACACAACUUUCAACAAUGGAUCUCUUGGCUCUC
rnacentral:misc_RNA from 1 species